UUUUUUUCAAUUUCUUUUCUUUUUGUGAUGCAGUCGCACUCUCGAUUAUUUCAAAAAACAAAUAUGAAUCACAACAUGAAAACAUAACAAAACACUAAAUAAAACAGAAUUGAAAACGCAAACGAAUUCCAUGUUAAUAGGUGAUGAUUAAUAGAAAACUAAACACAAAUGUCGUUAUCUUUCCUAUCGAUUUUCUCUCGAUUUCCAAUCGAAAACUGCUUGAACGCGAGUGUAUUGACAUUUUAUUUAAAAUAUCGAUAUGCACACACUGAUUUACCGAAACCAGACUUUCAAGAAUAUCGUCGAAAAUCUCUUCUUAAUUCAAAUAUAUCGGCUAAACGAAGCACCGAUGAACGAAGAACAGCAAAUUAUGCUGCAUCUUUCGUGGCCGGUGUUGCAGCACUUUAUGGGUUAAAAUCUCAUAUAUUACAUUAUAUAUUCUUUCUUGCCCCAUCACGAGGCAUUUUAGCGGAAGCACAAAUUGAAAUUAGUUUACGAGAUAUACCAGUAGGAAAAGUAUCAAUAUUUAAAUGGCAAGGAAAGCCGAUUUUCGUUUAUCAUCGCUCCCAAUCCAUUAUAGAUCAAGAAAGAUUAGUAAAUAUUGCGGAAUUAAGAGAUCCUGAAAGCGAUAAUGAAAGAGCUAAGCGACCUGAAUGGUUAAUUGUCAUUGGAAUUUGCACGCAUCUUGGCUGUGUGCCAAUUCCUAAUGCCGGUAUAAUACGUGGUGGAUUUUAUUGUCCAUGUCAUGCAUCUCAUUUUGAUGCAGCUGGACGUAUACGUAGAGGACCAGCACCUACCAACUUAGAAAUACCUGAAUAUAAAUUUCUCACCGAUGAUACCAUUCUUGUUGGCUAACUACCAUGGCGUUAAAGCCACAUUUCAACCAUUUCAUGUUCGAUAAUUUUCGAUUGUUGAUCAAACGUGAUACUAAUUCGUCAUACUUCAUUUUUAAAAAAAACCAAAAUGACACCACCAAUGGAAAGAAUACAGAUUCUUGAAACAAUUGAAAAAGAUAUUAUAGUGUGUUUACAAAGUGCAGGACAACCACAUGAAGGUUCUGGAUAUGCCAGUCAAAAAGUAUUACAAAUGGCAUGGCAUAGGUUAGAACAUGCACGAAGCAGAGUAAAUGAAUUAGAACGUAUCAAAAACAAAUCAAGAUGAACAUAUCCAAUCAUCUUUCUCAAUUAUUUUCAAUGUAUCAAUCAUAAAUGUUUUAAUU